CCAAGCUCUCUGCCAAAGUGAAUUGGAUCAUGGGAGUAAAUUAAAAUGUAUUUGAUCUCCUCGAUUGAGAAAUAUAAUGAGCUAACUGAAGGUGAUGACGAUGGCGAUAUGACUGAUAUAUAGCUAGAUUGAGUUAUGUGAUUGGAGAUUUAGAGAUAUAGAUACAUGUCCCUACAAAAUUGGUCAUUCUGUUAGUUCUAUACUUAAAAAUUUAGCAAUACUAUUGUGAAUGUAUACUCAAAAUUAAAGCUCAAGACUAAAAAAAUGUCCAUAUACACUCAAAAU
rnacentral:lncRNA from 1 species